rnacentral:lncRNA from 1 species
GGGAAUAGCAGAGUUUGCUACCGUUCACAGCUUUUAGUUUUUUUGAGGGUGGGGGUGGGUACUAAUCCAGGAUCCUUCAAGACUGAAUAUAAAGCAGUGGCCUUAGGUAAGGAACAUGAACCCACACCAACCCCACCCCUGGGUUCUUCUACCUACUUUGGUGGCUGCUAAAUUGACUUUUACCUUCCUCCAAAGGAAGGCUCACCUAGUGGAGGCUUUUUUUGUUUUGUUUUGUUUGGUGACAUUUGGUUGGUUGAGGUUUGGGGGUUUUUUGAGGGGUUUUGUUGGUGAUGGUUUGGUUUUUUGAGACAGAGUUUCUGUGUAUCACAGCCCUGACUGUUCUGGAACUCACUCUGUACCAGGCUGGCCUCAAUCUCAGAGGUCCACCUGCCUCUGCCUCCCAGAUUAAAGGUGUGUGCGGCCACUGCCUGGCUUCAGCUGGUGAUUUUUAAUUACAGAAUUACUAUUCUCUGCUGUGUUUCCUUUAGGAAUUUUGAAUUUGGGAUUAGGUGUAUAGUUAAUACUGUGUUUGCCUUCUAUGUGUAAGGCACUAGGUUUGAUCACACAGCCCCAGGACUGUAAACUGAGCAGUGUGAUGAUCCCACCUGGAAUCCCAGCCAGCAUUUAGGAGGUGGAAUCAAGUGACCACUGCAUCUUCAGCAACAUAGGGAGGUUUAAGUCAGACUGGGAUCCACAAGACCUUAUCACAAAACAAAACAAAAACCAACAACAAUAACAAAACCCUAAGAUUCCUAACAAUAAAUAAAAUUAUACCACCUUUCAA